GACGAACGCUGGCGGCGUGCUUAACACAUGCAAGUCGAACGGAAAGGCCCUGCUUUUGUGGGGUGCUCGAGUGGCGAACGGGUGAGUAACACGUGAGUAACCUGCCCUUGACUUUGGGAUAACUUCAGGAAACUGGGGCUAAUACCGGAUAGGAGCUCCUGCUGCAUGGUGGGGGUUGGAAAGUUUCGGCGGUUGGGGAUGGACUCGGGGCUUAUCAGCUUGUUGGUGGGGUAGUGGCUUACCAAGGCUUUGACGGGUAGCCGGCCUGAGAGGGUGACCGGGCACAAUGGGACUGAGGUACGGACCAGACUCGUACGGGGGGCAGCGGUGGGGAGUAUUGCACAAUGGGCGGGAGCCUGAUACGAAGGCGCCGCGUGCGGAAUGACGGCCUUCGGGGUGUGAACCGCUUUCGCCUGAGACGAAGCGUGAGUGACGGUACUGGGUGAAGAAGCACCGGCUAACUACGUG
rnacentral:rRNA from 1 species